GUGCUUGCUUCAGCAGCACAAAUACUAAAAUUGAAAUGAUACAGAAAAGAUUAGCUUGGCCCCUAUGCAAGGAUGACAUGUAAAUUUGUGAAGCAUUCCAUAUUUGU